rnacentral:rRNA from 1 species
UACAGAGGCCUCAAGCGUUAUUCGGAAUAACUGGGCGUAAAGGGUGCGUAGGUCGCCCCAAAAGUCGAUUGUGAAAUCUUAGGGCUCAACCCUAAAACAACGAUCGAUACUUUGGAGCUAGAGUGCAGGAGAGGAGCUUAGAAUUCACGGUGUAGCAGUGAAAUGCGUGGAUAUCGUGAGGAAUACCAAAGGCGAAAGCGGAGAUCUGGACUGCAACUGACACUGAUGCACGAAGGCCAGGGUAGCGAACGGG